rnacentral:rRNA from 1 species
AUUGAACGCUGGCGGCAGGCCUAACACAUGCAAGUCGAACGAGUGGCGGACGGGUGAGUAAUGUCUGGGAAACUGCCCGAUGGAGGGGGAUAACUACUGGAAACGGUAGCUAAUACCGCAUACCAUCGGAUGUGCCCAGAUGGAAUUAGCUAGUAGGUGGGGUAACGGCUCACCUAGGCGACGAUCCCUAGCUGGUCUGAGAGGAUUACCAGCCACCCUGGAAUUGUGACACGGUCCAGACUCCGUCGGUAGUCAGUAGUGGGGAACAUUCCACAAUGGUCGCAAGCCUGAUGCAGCCAUGCCGCGUGUAUGAAGAAGGCCUUCGGGUUGUAAAGUACUUUCAGCGAGGAGGCGUUACUCGCAGAAGAAGCAUCGGCUAACUCCGUGCCAGCAGCCGCGGUAAUAC